rnacentral:rRNA from 1 species
GAUGAACGCUGGCGGCGUGCCUAAUACAUGCAAGUAGAACGCUGAAGCUUGGUGCUUGCACCGAGCGGAUGAGUUGCGAACGGGUGAGUAACGCGUAGGUAACCUGCCUCUUAGCGGGGGAUAACUAUUGGAAACGAUAGCUAAUACCGCAUAAAAGUCGAUAUCGCAUGAUAUUGAUUUGAAAGGUGCAAAUGCAUCACUAAGAGAUGGACCUGCGUUGUAUUAGCUAGUUGGUGAGGUAACGGCUCACCAAGGCGACGAUACAUAGCCGACCUGAGGGGGUGAUCGGCCACACUGGGACUGAGACACGGCCCAGACUCCUACGGGAGGCAGCAGUAGGGAAUCUUCGGCAAUGGGGGCAACCCUGACCGAGCAACGCCGCGUGAGUGAAGAAGGUUUUCGGAUCGUAAAGCUCUGUUGUAAGAGAAGAACGAGUGUGAGAGUGGAAAGUUCACACUGUGACGGUAACUUACCAGAAAGGGACGGCUAACUACGUG